UUUAUCUUGAAAAGAUUUGACCAAACUGAUCACAUAAGAAUCUGUUAGAGAAAGAUAUAUAAAAAAAAUCAGAAAAUAAGAAUUUGUUUGGAAAACAUAAAUCUUUCGUCUAAUUGUUCUUUUAAUUAGGAUUGGCACCUUUUCUUCAUUUAAUUGUUCUUUUUCUGUAACUAUUGAUUACUCCUAUUUAUUUUGAUUUGAUUUGAUUAAAUGGUUGAUUCUAUAAAAAAGAAUGGUCCUGCUGUCAAUGGUGAUAUUAUAUCGUUUGCUGCUCCUCCUCAGCACGAUUUUACAUAUCGAGAGGUGCUUUUGUCCUCCCCCAUGCCAGAUAAUGCAGCUGCUAAUCGAAAAUGUUACUCGAUCAAUUAAAAGAAUUACAACAAAAUGUAGAUAUAAAACGCAAGGAACUAGGCGAUGUUAAUAGAGUAACUGCUCAACAGAAACAUGCCAUCGAAGACCUCAAUGAAAGGCUGAGUGCUUCUAUGCAGUCAUAUGCUGAAGCAAAUGCUAUAAUAAGUAGAGGGUUGUGCCUCUGAAAGCAAGAGAUUGAAAGGCUUAGGCAUUGGUGCCCCCGAAGGUCCCAUUUCUCUUGAUGAUUUUCGAAGCCUUCAAAGAUCAAACACAG